GUGAUAGAGGUUGCGUAUUUCAAGAGUAGACCGUCCGAUGCAUCAGAGUGCAGGUGAAGACGAAGCGAAAGGGAUAUACGCCGAAAGGAACGGAUCUCUGCUGUCCUUUUCUUGGGCGUGAAUUGAACAGGUUCACGACUGUCAUCGUCAGAUGGAGCGCUAUCC
rnacentral:ncRNA from 1 species